AACGAACGCUGGCGGCAUGCCUAACACAUGCAAGUCGAACGCGGGGCUUCGGCCCCGAGUGGCGCACGGGUGAGUAGCGCGUGGGAACCUGCCCUUCAGUGGGGGAUAACCGAGGGAAACUUCGGCUAAUACCGCAUGCGCCCGGAGCAAUCCGGGGAAAGAUUUAUCGCUGAAGGAGGGGCCCGCGUCGGAUUAGCUAGUUGGUAGGGUAACGGCCUACCAAGGCUUUGAUCCGUAGCUGGUCUGAGAGGAUGAUCAGCCACACUGGGA
rnacentral:rRNA from 1 species